rnacentral:rRNA from 1 species
CAGUCGAGCGGAACGAGUUAUCUGAACCUUCGGGGGACGAUAACGGCGUCGAGCGGCGGACGGGUGAGUAAUGCCUAGGAAAUUGCCCUGAUGUGGGGGAUAACCAUUGGAAACGAUGGCUAAUACCGCAUGAUGCCUACGGGCCAAAGAGGGGGACCUUCGGGCCUCUCGCGUCAGGAUAUGCCUAGGUGGGAUUAGCUAGUUGGUGAGGUAAGGGCUCACCAAGGCGACGAUCCCUAGCUGGUCUGAGAGGAUGAUCAGCCACACUGGAACUGAGACACGGUCCAGACUCCUACGGGAGGCAGCAGUGGGGAAUAUUGCACAAUGGGCGCAAGCCUGAUGCAGCCAUGCCGCGUGUGUGAAGAAGGCCUUCGGGUUGUAAAGCACUUUCAGUCGUGAGGAAGGUAGUGUAGUUAAUAGCUGCAUUAUUUGACGUUAGCGACAGAAGAAGCACCGGCUAACUCCGUGCCAG